rnacentral:rRNA from 1 species
GCCGGCGACCAUACCAUGUCGAGAGCACCGGUUCUCGUCCGAUCAUCACAGUUAAGCGCCGUUGGGCCCGGUCCU